rnacentral:tRNA from 1 species
GGAUUGUGGCUUAGUGGUAAAGCACUUGCCUAGCACAUGUGAGGCCCUGGGUUCAAUCCUCAGCACCA